UAAUACCUUAAUCAUUUGACGUUACCUACAGAAGAAGCACCGGCUAACUCCGUGCCAGCAGCCGCGGUAAUACGGAGGGUGCAAGCGUUAAUCGGAAUUACUGGGCGUAAAGCGCAUGCAGGUGGUUUGUUAAGUCAGAUGUGAAAGCCCUGGGCUCAACCUAGGAAUCGCAUUUGAAACUGACAAGCUAGAGUACUGUAGAGGGGGGUAGAAUUUCAGGUGUAGCGGUGAAAUGCGUAGAGAUCUGAAGGAAUACCGGUGGCGAAGGCGGCCCCCUGGACAGAUACUGACACUCAGAUGCGAAAGCGUGGGGAGCAA
rnacentral:rRNA from 1 species